UGGGGAAUAUUGGACAAUGGGGGGAAACCCUGAUCCAGCAAUGCCGCGUGAGUGAAGAAGGCCUUAGGGUUGUAAAGCUCUUUCGUCCGCGAAGAUAAUGACGGUAGCGGGAGAAGAAGCCCCGGCUAACUCCGUGCCAGCAGCCGCGGUAAUACGGCGGGGGCUAGCGUUGUUCGGAAUUACUGGGCGUAAAGCGUACGUAGGCGGAUGCGCAAGUUGGGGGUGAAAUCCCGGGGCUUAACCUCGGAAUUGCCCUCAAAACUUCACGUCUUGAGACCGAGAGAGGUAAGGGGAAUUCCUCGUGUAGAGGUGAAAUUCGUAGAUAUUAGGAAGAACACCAGUGGCGAAGGCGCCUUACUGGCUCGGUACUGACGCUGAGGUA
rnacentral:rRNA from 1 species